AUACUUACCUGGCAGGGGAGACACCAUGACCACAAAGGAGGUUUUCCCACGCUAGGCUUAUCCAUUGCACUCUGGAUGUGUUGACCCCUGUGAUUUUCCAAAAUGCAGGAGAAAUGGCUCAGUGGUUAAGAGUGCGGGCUGCUCUUCCAGAGGACUCCGGU
ensembl:snRNA U1 U1 spliceosomal RNA